rnacentral:lncRNA from 1 species
AAAAUUUACUGGUAUUGGGAAUAGAAUUUGUUUUCAUUGUCCAAAAAAAAAAGGCCAAGAAAACCAAUAUUCAUCUAUCUUUUCGUGUUUGUUUGACUUUGUUUUACAUGAUAAUUGUCACCUAAAGAGAUAUAAUUUAUUACAAUAAUUCUUAAAAUUUGUUUAAAUUGCAAAAUUAAAAAAUUAAAAAAAAAGACUUGAAAACGUGGAAUUGAAAUUCCCACCAUUGGUGGAAUUGGCUGAUGUGGCCAUAAAAGAUGAAAAAUCAAUUCCAUUCCAAAUUUUGCCAAUCAAACACCACAAAAUUGGAAAGAUGGAAUU